rnacentral:rRNA from 1 species
AAUCAACGCUGGCGGCGCGCUUAACACAUGCAAGUCGAACGAGAAAGGGGAGCAAUCCCUGAGUAAAGUGGCGCACGGGUGAGUAACACGUGGGGAUCUACCUUCUGGUGGGGAAUAACUCUGGGAAACCGGAGCUAAUACCGCAUAAGCCUGAGAAGGGAAAGGAGCAAUUCGCCGGAAGAGGAACCCGCGGCUGAUUAGCUAGUUGGUAGGGUAAAGGCCUACCAAGGCAAAGAUCGGUAGCCGGCCUGAGAGGGCACACGGCCACACUGGCACUGAAACACGGGCCAGACUCCUACGGGAGGCAGCAGUGGGGAACCUUGCACAUUGGGGGAAACCCUGAUGCAGCGACGCCGCGUGAGUGAUGAAGCCCUUCGGGGUGUAAAGCUCUUUCGGCUGGAACGAUAAUGACGGUACCAGCAGAAGAAGCUGCGGCUAACUACGUGCCAGCCGCCGCAGUAAAAC